GUGUUCGCUUUGGCAGCUCAUAUAGUAAAAUUGGGAUGAUACAGUGAAGAUUAGCAUGACCCCUGCCCAAGGAUAACAGGCAAAUUCAUGAAGCAUUCCAUAUUUUU